CCUACGGGAGGCAGCAGUGGGGAAUAUUGGGCAAUGGAGGAAACUCUGACCCAGCAACGCCGCGUGAAUGAUGAAGGUCUUCGGAUUGUAAAGUUCUUUUCUAAGGGAAGAAGAAAGUGACGGUACCUUAGGAAUAAGCCUCGGCUAACUACGUGCCAGCAGCCGCGGUAAUACGUAGGAGGCGAGCGUUAUCCGGAAGGACUGGGCGUAAAGGGGGCGUAGGUGGUUUGGCAAGUUAGUAGCGUAACUCCAAGGCUCAACCUUGGAACUACUACUAAAACUGUUGGACUUGAGUGCAGGAGGGGCAACCGGAAUUCCUAGUGUAGCGGUGGAAUGCGUAGAUAUUAGGAGGAACACCAGUGGCGAAGGCGGGUUGCUAGACUGUAACUGACACUGAGGCACGAAAGCGUGGGGAGCAAACAGGAUUAGAUACCCGAGUAGUC
rnacentral:rRNA from 1 species